GCCGCAGGCAGGUCUCGAGGGGGCAGUCUAAGAAGAGCUGGCAAAAGCCCAGGGAGUCUGCGAACAGGUGAAAACCAGAAUCACCGGCUAGCAGGUGAAAACCGCGAGUCACCGCGCGCAGGUGAAAACCGCGAGUCACCGCGCGCAGGUGAAAACCAGAAUCACCGCGCGCAGGUGAAAACCACGAGUCACCGCGUGCAGGUGAAAACCAGAAUCACCGCGCGCAGGUGAAAACCACGAGUCACCGCGUGCAGGUGAAAACCAGAAUCACCGCGCGC